rnacentral:misc_RNA from 1 species
UUUCCGUAGGUGAACCAGCGGAAGGAUCAUUCAUAAUACGUGCUUUACUCCACUUUUCAAUAAUCAGUAUUCACCUUGUGUGGAAGGUUUGCUGCCGAGUUCGCUUUUUUGCGCGUUCUUGGCAGUAUACUACCAACCCUUUAUUGAAUUUUUUUGUCUGGAAUUUUUUGAUUACAUAAUUCGAAAUACAACUUUUAACAACGGACAUCUGGGCUCUCGCAUCGAGGACGAACGCAGCAGACCGCAAAAGCACACGUCUGACCUCCGGUCACGCAUAGG